rfam:Xenorhabdus nematophila ATCC 19061 chromosome, complete genome
AGUCGUUGGUGGCACAACUUCCCAUUCAGGACGGUUGACUCACGCGCAUAAAUACAAAUGCGAAAGUGCCAAAACCCGCCCUAAAAAGCGGGUUUUUUAUA